AGCGAACGCUGGCGACAGGCUUAACACAUGCAAGUCGAGCGGGCACUUCGGUGUCAGCGGCAGACGGGUGAGUAACACGUGGGAACGUACCCUUUGGUUCGGAAUAACGCUGGGAAACUAGCGCUAAUACCGGAUACGCCCUUUUGGGGAAAGGCUUGCUGCCGAAGGAUCGGCCCGCGUCUGAUUAGCUAGUUGGUGGGGUAAUGGCCUACCAAGGCGACGAUCAGUAGCUGGUCUGAGAGGAUGAUCAGCCACACUGGGACUGAGACACGGCCCAGACUCCUACGGGAGGCAGCAGUGGGGAAUAUUGGACAAUGGGCGCAAGCCUGAUCCAGCCAUGCCGCGUGAGUGAUGAAGGCCUUAGGGUUGUAAAGCUCUUUUGUCCGGGACGAUAAUGACGGUACCGGAAGAAUAAGCCCCGGCUAACUUCGUG
rnacentral:rRNA from 1 species